UUUAGCCUGCUCUAAACCAUCCAUUUCGGUUAGGAGGGUGGAUAGAAGUCUCUCUCCAACUGUACUGCUUCCACUUGAACUUCCUCCUCUGCCAUUUAAGGAUCAACCAUAUCAGAGUUUCCCAUAAAUAAUGAGGAACAACAACAACAACAACGACCCAGUGAAAUCCCACUAGUGAGGUAUGAGGAGGGUAGUGUGUACGCAGACCUUACCCCUACUCCAAAGGGUAGAGAGGCUGUUUCCGAAAGACCCCCGGCUCAAGAAGACGAAAAGAGGCAAUAUAUCAGUACCAUCAAUAAAAACCAUAAAAAAAAUAACAUCACAAGGACCAGAAAAUAGAUGAAAAGCAAAACAAUAACUAGUAGAUAAAGCCCCGACACUAAGAGGAACGAAAGAGUAGUGAGAACUCAACACUAUCCACUAGUAGUCUAAGACUAAAUCCUACCAGACUAGCCUAAGUCUGGUGCGUCGUAAAAAUAUGCACAACUACCUCCUAACCUACAACCUUAAUGCUCGACCUCCACAACAUCUUGUCUAGAGCCAUGUCCUGCCUGAUCACCCCUCCUCAAU
rnacentral:lncRNA from 1 species